rnacentral:rRNA from 1 species
GAUGAACGCUGGCGGCGUGCCUAAUACAUGCAAGUCGAGCGAACGGACGAGAAGCUUGCUUCUCUGAUGUUAGCGGCGGACGGGUGAGUAACACGUGGAUAACCUACCUAUAAGACUGGGAUAACUUCGGGAAACCGGAGCUAAUACCGGAUAAUAUUUUGAACCGCAUGGUUCAAAAGUGAAAGACGGUCUUGCUGUCACUUAUAGAUGGAUCCGCGCUGCAUUAGCUAGUUGGUAAGGUAACGGCUUACCAAGGCAACGAUGCAUAGCCGACCUGAGAGGGUGAUCGGCCACACUGGAACUGAGACACGGUCCAGACUCCUACGGGAGGCAGCAGUAGGGAAUCUUCCGCAAUGGGCGAAAGCCUGACGGAGCAACGCCGCGUGAGUGAUGAAGGUCUUCGGAUCGUAAAACUCUGUUAUUAGGGAAGAACAUAUGUGUAAGUAACUGUGCACAUCUUGACGGCACCUAAUCAGAAAGCCACGGCUAACUACGUG